rnacentral:rRNA from 1 species
UGUGAUUCAUGACUGGGGUUAAGUCGUAACAAGGUAACCGAAGGGAAACCUGCGGUUGGAUCACCUCCUUACCUUAAAGAAGC